AAUCGUGACCGGUGGAUAGGUUUAGGAACCUGUUUCCUCUCGGUGCAUCAAACCAAACUAUGGAUAGUGUCUUUGCACUCGCCAAACGCACAGCAGACGUAAAAGUCACGAUUCUUUCGGAAAAGACAUAAAAACCAAGGUCUUGUUCCAUGGUGGAGGUUGGCAUGAUGAGGAAAUCUUUGUGUUCAACCGCCUUGAGUGCCGAGUUCAUAUCUACAUUUGAAGCCCUUCAAAUGUGUAUUUUGACGUUUCAAUAUUAGUGCAACAUUCCUGAAUGGUACAUUAAACAAAAUAAGAGGAAAAAUAUUAUCUGGAGGAAACGUAAAAACUUACCUGCAAUGACUAAAGGGGAUGUUAGCAAUGUGGAGGCAUGGCGUAGCAGGUUUUCUAGGGGUUGACAGAAGUUGGAAUCUUUACAGAAACUGAUUGCCCACCCCGUAGUCUCCUUUUUCUGUCAAAACA